rnacentral:RNase_P_RNA from 1 species
AGCAGGUCGGAUGGUCGCAAGCACAACCUUUCAAGUUGUGCUUGAGGAAAGUCCGAGCUCCACAGGGCAGGGUGCUGGGUAACACCCAGUGGGGGCGACCCUAAGGAAAGUGCCACAGAAACAUACCGCCCGGCACUCAAUUGGGUAUGUUAAGUGCAGGAUGAAGAAGAAACUUGGCGUACCCAGUUGAGUGCCGGGUAAGGGUGAAAAGGUGAGGUAAGAGCUCACCAGCGGUUAGGCGACUAACCGGCUAGGCAAACCCCACCUGGAGCAAGACCAAGAAAGGGACAUAUCGGUGGCCCGCCGAGUCCCGUGGUAGGUCGCUGGAGGUGGCAGGUAACUGUUACCCUAGAUAGAUGACCAUCCAAGACAGAACUCGGCUUACAGACCUGCUCUC